CACCAUGUAAACAUUCACAGUGCAGGUGGAAAAAGUAUGUGAACCCCUAGACUAAUGACAUCUCCAAGAGCUAAUUGGAGUGAGAUGUCAGCCAACUGGAGUCCAAUCAAUGAGAUGAGAUGUUGUUCCCAGCUGAUCGACGGACUGGUAAGGUAAGUAUAGGAUUCCUUACAGUCUGCCUAUAACUGAGUGUGUAUGUGUGUGACUGUCUGUCUGUAACUGUGUGUGACUGUCUGCCUGUAACUCUAUGUGAAUCUUUGUGACAGUAUGCCUGUAACUAAGUGUGUGUGACCGUCUGCCUGUAAUUGAGCGUGUGUGACUUUCUGCCUGUAAC